AAAGAAAAGAUUAUCCUAGGCACUGUGGGAAUCGAUGUAAGCGAAGCUUUCUGUGUUGGAUGCUUUGAUUGACGAUAAUCAGCGGUGAUGUUGACGGCUAAAGCUUAGUUUCUUCAGCGUUUAGGCUAACACGAGAGUGAUUGUGAGUGCAAGCUCACCAUGGUGUAACUGCAAUAGCUGGUUCUGUCAAGUAUGGGACAUCUACCUGUGCUUAGAGGAGGGAAACAAAUGCAGGACGCAAAGAUCCAACAGCUGUGGCCACUGCUGGUGCUACCCCGACAUCCGUGAUAAAAAAUAUUGUUAGGAACAGGACGCAGAUCCGGGCAAGGUCCAUCUAUUUGAAGUUUUUAAAGGGUGGCCCCAUGUCAAUCCACAAAACGAGUUCAACCAUUGUGGAUGUUUCUGCAGAGACUAUGGGUCUUCUCUCUCAUAUUCUAUCCUUUCUUCAGUGCUCUAUACUAAGUCUACGAGAACCAGCAAGCCUUAUUCCAGAUGUCUGAAAAGCUUCCAGCUUCAUGCUGCCCGUCAGGCCCAAAUGGUAUAUGAAACUAUACUGAAGAAAAUGCACAAAGCAUGAUGUACACGUGGUCUGUAUACAUCUAGCCUCAACUUGUAAUUUCAUCCCACGAGAAAAUGUCAUUCUGUCACAAGGAAACUGAAAGACAGCUUCUUCAAGGACAACAAUUCACACAAGUGGGCUGAAAAUGGUAUGAGGUAUAUCUAAACUUGGAUGUCCACCUGAUGUCCUAUUUGUUUCCAAAGCACUACAUGUAUAAUUGACAUGCUCUAAAUGUGCCGCGGAUGACAUGCUUCGACCGUAUUCUCUCUUUUGUCAUCAAAGUCGCCAGGUGGGAGCACAUGCACCUUUCUUUUCUGUGGAAUAAUAACCUUAACUGGCAACUUAAAGAUUUCAACGAUGUUUGCCAAGAAUGGCAAAGGAUAUUGGACACUAAAAAACACAGAAAAAAAGUUAGUAAAAAGUACAUGUUAGUAAAUUACUUUUGUAGAAUACUAAAAAAAAUCAACUCUUACCUUGAUAGAAGGUAUAAUGCAGAAAAAAAUGCAAGAAUGAAAGAUGUGUGGCAAUGCCUCUUCGAUGCUUGAACACCAGCUUGCCAUGAUGCCAUCGAUUUUGUCAACAUCUGCUCAGCUCUAGUCAUUUCUUCCUUGGUAAAGAUGUAUUAUAAUGCAUUCGAAAAGAGUCCAAGACCUAAGCUCACAAACUUUGAGAGGAUUACUUUGCCACAGUGGCCAUAAUACGAGAAAAUACUUUGAAAUCUGUGGUGUCGCAUUCAUGUACACCAGCACUGGGGUUCUUGCAUAAAAUUUGUGUGUGGCUUUCAUUUUCUCUUCUAUUAAUCAACCUGUUAGUGUAAAAUUAGAAAAACACAGUUUUGAACGAAUACUUUAUUGGUCUAUAAAUAGGUUGAAUGUUUCUCUUC